rnacentral:rRNA from 1 species
GACAGGCGUAGUCGAUGGACAACGGGUUGAUAUUCCCGUACCGGCGAAACAACGUCCGUGCUGGGGCACGCGAUGCUAAGCAUGCGAGACUGUCUGCUGCCUUUCGGGGUGGUGGGUGGUUGAGUCUGUGAUCCGAGUGUGUAGUAGGCAAGCCGCGGAGGGACGCAGGAAGGUAGCUCAUCCUCAGCGUUGGUUGUCUGAGGCUAAGUGUGUAGGGUGGGGUGUAGGUAAAUCCGCAUUCCGUGAUGCCUGAGACACGAUGGGCCUGCACCGUUUGGGUGUGGGUUGAGUGAUCCUAUGCUGCCUAGAAAAGCUUCGUUGGCGAGUUGUUAGCCGCCCGUACCCUAAACCGACACAGGUGGAUAGGUAGAGAAUACCGAGGCGAUCGGGAUAAUCGUGGUGAAGGAACUCGGCAAAAUACCCCCGUAACUUCGGGAUAAGGGGGACCUGAUACGUGACCAGCCUUGCGUUGUGAGCGUUGAGGGUCGCAGAGACCAGGCCCAAGCGACUGUUUACUAAAAACACAGGUCCGUGCCAACUCGUAAGAGGAUGUAUACGGACUGACUCCUGCCCGGUGCUGGAAGGUUAAGGGGAACUGUCAGCCGCAUUUUGUGUGGUGAAGCGGUGAACUUAAGCCCCAGUAAACGGCGGUGGUAACUAUAACCAUCCUAAGGUAGCGAAAUUCCUUGUCGGGUAAGUUCCGACCUGCACGAAUGGAGUAACGAUUUGGGCGCUGUCUCCACCACGAACCCGGUGAAAUUGCAUUACGAGUAAAGAUGCUCGUUACGCGCAGCAGGACGGAAAGACCCCGGGACCUUUACUACAGUUUGGUAUUGGUGAUCGGUGUGACUUGUGUAGGAUAGGUGGGAGACUUUGAAACCGGGACGCCAGUUCCGGUGGAGUCGUCGUUGAAAUACCACUCUGGUCAUUCUGGUUAUCUAACCUAGGACCGUUAUCCGGUUCAGGGACAGUGCCUGAUGGGUAGUUUGACUGGGGCGGUCGCCUCCUAAAAGGUAACGGAGGCGCCCAAAGGUUCCCUCAGCCUGGUUGGCAAUCAGGUUUCGAGUGUAAGUGCACAAGGGAGCUUGACUGUGAGACCGACGGGUCGAGCAGGGACGAAAGUCGGGACUAGUGAUCUUCUGGUAGCGAAUGGAAGCGCCAGGACUCAACGGAUAAAAGGUACCCCGGGGAUAACAGGCUGAUCUUGCCCGAGCGUCCAUAGCGACGGCAUGGUUUGGCACCUCGAUGUCGGCUCGUCGCAUCCUGGGGCUGGAGUCGGUCCCAAGGGUUGGGCUGUUCGCCCAUUAAAGCGGCACGCGAGCUGGGUU